GACGAACGCUGGCGGCGUGCUUAACACAUGCAAGUCGAGCGGUAAGGCCCUUUCGGGGGUACACGAGCGGCGAACGGGUGAGUAACACGUGGGUGACCUGCCCUCAGCUCUGGGAUAAGCCUGGGAAACCGGGUCUAAUACCGGAUAUGACUCCAUGACGCAUGUUGUGGGGUGAAAGCCUUGUGCGGCUGAGGAUGGGCCCGCGGCCUAUCAGCUUGUUGGUGGGGUGANGGCCUACCAAGGCGACGACGGGUAGCCGGCCUGAGAGGGCGACCGGCCACACUGGGACUGAGACACGGCCCAGACUCCUACGGGAGGCAGCAGUGGGGAAUUUUGGACAAUGGGGGCAACCCUGAUCCAGCCAUUCCGCGUGAGUGAAGAAGGCC
rnacentral:rRNA from 1 species